AGUACGUGAAACCGUUUAGGGGUAAACCUGAGAAACCCGAAAGGUCGAAGGAAGAAAUUCAAUCGUGCCCGAUGAGGUUAUUGUGCGGUUGUGUGUGUCGAAUUAUGGACUUGUCCAUUUUUCGCCCUGCCGUAUGAUAUGUGUACCUUGUUGGAUGCGUGCACUUUUCUUCUGGUAGGACGUUGCGAUCUGUUGAGUGUUGAUCUACGGUUUGAAUGGUAGCCCGUUUUUGUUGGUUUUUCACAAAAUCAUUGGAGACGGACCUUCAAUACCUGGUUAACUGGCUCGACAGUAUAGUGAAAGGUUCUGGGCCGCUUUUUAAGAGCGUUCGGCUUGUAGCAAGCACGUCAAAUGUUUCGGUGCCACGGACUUUGUGCCGUGUCUGAUCCUUGACGACUGUUGGCUGCUUUGUCUCGAACAGACCCAUUUAUUGUGACCGAUCAGCAACGAUAUAGCUUUGGGUAAUUUCAGGACCCGUCUUGAAACACGGACCAAGGAGUCUAGCAUGUACGCAAGUCAUUGGGAAUCAAUAAACCUAAAGGCGCAAUGAAAGUAAACAUUUUCCUUCACGGUUAAUGAUGGGAGGACGAGCGUCAAACUUUACAGUUUGCGUUCUGCACUCCCGGGGCGUCUCAUUCUCAUUACGAGGAGAGGCGCACCAUGAGCGUACACGCUGGGACCCGAAAGAUGGUGAACUAUGCCUGGU
rnacentral:rRNA from 1 species